rnacentral:miRNA from 1 species
UCCACAGCUUUCUUGAACUG